AUUGAACGCUGGCGGCAUGCCUUACACAUGCAAGUCGAACGGCAGCACGGGAGCAAUCCUGGUGGCGAGUGGCGAACGGGUGAGUAAUAUAUCGGAACGUGCCCAGUCGUGGGGGAUAACGCAGCGAAAUCUGUGCUAAUACCGCAUACGAUCUAAGGAUGAAAGCGGGGGAUCGCAAGACCUCGCGCGAUUGGAGCGGCCGAUAUCAGAUUAGCUAGUUGGUGGGGGAAAGGCCCACCAAGGCGACGAUCUGGGGCUGGUCUGGGAGGACGACCAGCCACACUGGAACUGAGACACGGUCCAGACUCCUACGGGAGGCAGCAGUGGGGAAUUUUGGACAAUGGGCGCAAGCCUGAUCCAGCAAUGCCGCGUGCAGGAUGAAGGCCUUCGGGUUGUAAACUGCUUUUGUACGGAACGAAACGGCCCUUUCUAAUACAGGGGGCUAAUGACGGUACCGUAAGAAUAAGCACCGGCUAACUACGUGCCAGCCGCCGCGGUAA
rnacentral:rRNA from 1 species